rnacentral:rRNA from 1 species
GUAGGUGGCAAGCGUUGUCCGGAAUUAUUGGGCGUAAAGCGCGCGCAGGUGGUUCUUUAAGUCUGAUGUGAAAGCCCCCGGGCUCAACCGGGGAGGGUCACUGGAAACUGGGGAACUUGAGUGCAGGAGAGGAAAGUGGAAUUCCACGUGUAGCGGUGAAAUGCGUAGAUAUGUGGAGGAACACCAGUGGCGAAGGCGACUUUCUGGCCUGUAACUGACACUGAGGCGCGAAAGCGUGGGGAGCAAACAGGAUUAGAUACCCUGGUAGUCCACGCCGUAAACGAUGAGUGCUAAGUGUUGGGGGGUUUCCGCCCCUCAGUGCUGCAGCUAACGCAUUAAGCACUCCGCCUGGGGAGUACGGUCGCAAAGACUG